CAACAGAGGUAGUUUUAGUUAGUACCCUGGUCUAGUACAACAGAGGUAGUUUUAGUUAGUACCCUGGUCUAGUACAAUAGAGGUAGUUUUAGUUAGUACCCCUGUAAAACAGAGGUAGUUUUAGUUAGUACCCUGGUCUAGUACAACAGAG